rnacentral:rRNA from 1 species
UACGUAGGGUGCGAGCGUUGUCCGGAAUUACUGGGCGUAAAGAGCUCGUAGGUGGUUUGUCGCGUUGUUCGUGAAAUCUCACGGCUUAACUGUGAGCGUGCGGGCGAUACGGGCAGACUGGAGUACUGCAGGGGAGACUGGAAUUCCUGGUGUAGCGGUGGAAUGCGCAGAUAUCAGGAGGAACACCAGUGGCGAAGGCGGUUCUCUGGGCAUGACCUGACGCUGAGGAGCGAAAGUGUGGGGAGCGAACAGG